CCGAAGCUUUGGGUUCAUACUUUGUAUGAGCGGUAGCGGAGCGUUCUGUAAGCCGUUGAAGGUGGAUCGAGAGGUCUGCUGGAGGUAUCAGAAGUGCGAAUGCUGACAUGAGUAACGAUAAUGGGGGUGAAAAACCCCCACGCCGGAAGACCAAGGUUUCCUGCCCCAUGCUAAUCAGCGUCAUGCCACUCCGAAAAAAAAGCCCCCACAUUCUGGGCUGCCUAGCUUUACGUUAAAUAUUUCGACUGCGACCGUUCGCCUGCUAGGCAAACUCACUCGCUUACAGAUUAUAGUGUUGAGCGUGGCCAUGUGUUCGAUUGUAUUUGGCUUAGGCAC
rnacentral:rRNA from 1 species